rnacentral:rRNA from 1 species
UACGUAGGGACCAAGCGUUGUUCGGAUUUACUGGGCGUAAAGGGCGCGUAGGCGGCAAUUCAAGUCAUCUGUGAAAUCUCCGGGCUUAACCCGGAACGGUCAGAUGAUACUGCUUUGCUAGAGUGCGGAAGGGGCAAUCGGAAUUCUUGGUGUAGCGGUGAAAUGCGUAGAUAUCAAGAGGAACACCUGAGGUGAAGACGGAGACCUGGGCAGAUAUUGACGCUGAGGAGCGAAAGCGUGGGGAGCAAACAGG